GGGGUCGUUCUGGUUUCGACACAAAGGAGCAGAAGGUAUGGUAGGUCAGUCGAAAGGGGUGUCGACUUUUGUACUCAACGCACAUUCUUGUGACAUGCUAAUCACAUUAUUCCUUUUACUCGACGAGUUGCUGUAGCAGCUUAAUUGGACAUAGUAUUCCAUCGAGUUUAGCGUGACUCAUACUUGAGAUUAAGAUAGGAGCGAUCUUUUAGAACGCUAGUAAUGCUUUACUAUCCAGCUUGAUCGGAUAGUUCCUGUUGCAUGGAUCAAUCAACUAUACUGAUGAGCCCCAACCUUAACAUUGAACCUAUUGUGGACGCGGGUUCGAUUCCCGCCGACUCCA
rnacentral:tmRNA from 1 species